CAGCUACCUGCAGUUCGAGCGAGAAAGGCCUUCGGGCUUAGUAAAGCGGCGAACGGGUGAGUAACGCGUGAGAAUCUACCCUUUGGUGGAGGAUACCUUCGAGAAAUCGGAGUUAAUCCUGCAUAAGUCUCGUUGAGAGAAAGGUGGCUUUUAUGCUGCCGCCGAAGGACGAGCUUGCGUACUAUUAGUUUGUUGGUGGGGUAAUGGCCUACCAAGGCAAUGAUGGUUAGCCGGCCUGAGAGGGUGUUCGGCCACACUGGAACUUAGACACGGUCCAGACUCCUACGGGAGGCAGCAGUGAGGAAUAUUGCGCAAUGGGCGAAAGCCUGACGCAGCGACGCCGCGUGAGGGAUGACGGUCUUCGGAUUGUAAACCUCUGUUAAGUGGGAAGAAAAGCUAAGCUUUAAUAGGGCUUAGUUAUGACGGUACCAUUAGAGAAAGCACCGGCUAACUUCGUGCCAGCAGCCGCGGUAAUACGAGGGGUGCAAGCGUUAUUCGGAAUUAUUGGGCGUACAGGGUGUGUAGGCGGCAUGUUAAGUCUGCUGUUAAAUGUCUCGGCCUAACCGAGAACCAGCAGUGGAAACUGAUAUGCUAGAGGAUGGAAGAGAGAAGUGGAAUUCUUGGAGUAGCGGUAAAAUGCGUAGAUCUCAAGAGGAACACCGAUGGCGAAGGCAGCUUCUUGGUCCAUUCCUGACGCUGAGGCACGAAAGCGUGGGUAGCAAACAGGAUUAGAUACCCUGGUAGUCCACGCUGUAAACGAUGACCACUAGACGUUGGCUC
rnacentral:rRNA from 1 species